rnacentral:lncRNA from 10 species
CCCUUAGAGGAGUCUAAAAAUGGCAUAUAGGGCCUCAGAAGGGUGAGUGACAUGUUACUGGAGUUCAAGUGCACUGAAUAACCUUCCAGCCAUUCAUUAUGACACCUACUGGGAAUCUAUUAUGUGCCAAGUAGUCCUGUAGUCACUAGAGAUCUCACAAGCAGCAAGAUAAAGUCCCUGCCUACAUGAAGCUUACCUUGCAGUGGAGGAGGAAGACAAUAACAUCAUGUCAGAGGUGAUACAUGCUAGAAAAAUACUAAGUGGGCCAAGGGGAGAGUGUGAAGGUGGACACAGUGGUGGUGGCUAUUUUUGAAAGAGGCAUCAGGGUAGGGCUCCCCACUUCGAGUGAACUAAGCAAGCAAGGAACAUGGAUCUGCAGGGUUUGAGAGUUCCAGGAGGAAGGGACAGCCAGCCUGACAUGCAGAGUGAACGAAGGACAGCCAAGGACCAGGGUUAAAGACAAAGUGUUACUGUUCUCCUUUAAACAAGCUAGACUGGACCAGAUUGUCCACCCUGGACUAGCUGGCAUAACAGAUCCUCUUGGCUCUCUGAGGGCGCCUUCUCUCCAUCAGAGGUCGCACAGCACCACACCUUGAUUCCAGGAUUAGCAAUCGCCAACUGCGUAAGCCCAACUGCACAUGCAAUCAUAUGACAUGUGAUCCCAUGGCAAAUGUAAUCACCGCUCAACCAAUCCCAGGUCCUACGUGAGAGGCUGAAGUGUGGCAGGGAGGCUUUCAGCCAUCACUGUUGCCCAGGUAAAGGAAAUUUCCCCCAUUGUGCUUUGAGGAGAGCUGCUACACACCAGGUUAGAGAACUGAGGCACAGAGAUAUUGGGCAACUUCCCCAAGGUCAGACAACUAGUAAAGGGCAAGUAGGAUUCAAACCUAGGCAGCUGGCUCCAGAGCCCACGUUGCUACCUGUUACGCUUCUCUCCUAGUAGAAGAAUGAACCAGAAAUGAACAUAAGCAUGUUGGAAUUCAUGUAUGUGGCAGACUGUAUUUUCCAAAGAUGGCC